UUAUAAGAGACAGCAGCAGCCGCGGUAAAACGGAGGGUGCAAGCGUUAAUCGGAAUUACUGGGCGUAAAGCGCACGCAGGCGGUCUGACAAGUCAGAUGUGAAAUCCCCGGGCUUAACCUGGGAACUGCAUUUGAAACUGUCAGGCUGGAGUCUUGUAGAGGGGGGUAGAAUUCCAGGUGUAGCGGUGAAAUGCGUAGAGAUCUGGAGGAAUACCGGUGGCGAAGGCGGCCCCCUGGACAAAGACUGACGCUCAGGUGCGAAAGCGUGGGGAGCAAACAGGAUUAGAUACCCGUGUAGUCCCUGUCUCUUAUAC
rnacentral:rRNA from 1 species